AACCUUUACAAUGCACGAAAGUGUGAUAAGGGGAUCCUACGUGCUCAUGCAACGCAUGGGCUUUUGGCAAGCGUAAAGAGCUUGCAGAAUAAGUGGUGGGUAAGACUGGUGCCAGCCGCCGCGGUAACACCAGCGCCACAAGUGGCAAUCAGCAUUAUUGGGCCUAAAGCGUCCGUAGCCGGACAUGUACAUCUUCUGUGAAAUCGUCAAGCUUAACUUGGCGGCACGCAGAGGACACGGCAUGUCUUGGGAGUGGGAGAAGUCAGAGGUAUUUGCGGGGGACCGGUAAAAUGGUAUAAUCCCGCAAGGACCACCGAUGGCGAAAGCAUCUGACCAGAACACGUCCGACGGUGAGGGACGAAAGCCAGGGGAGCGAACCGGAUUAGAUACCCGAGUAGUCCUGGCCGUAAACGCUGCGAGCUAGGUGUUGCACCUCCCAUGAGGAGGUGCAGUAUCGAAGCGAAGGCAAUAAGCUCGCCGCCUGGGGAGUACGGUCGCAAGGCUGAAACUUAAAGGAAUUGGCGGGGGAGCACAC
rnacentral:rRNA from 1 species